rnacentral:rRNA from 1 species
CAGUAGCCACGGGAAUACGUAGGUGGCAAGCGUUGUCCGGAAUUAUUGGGCGUAAAGGGCUCGCAGGCAGUUUCUUAAGUCUGAUGUGAAAGCCCCCGGCUCAACCGGGGAGGGUCAUUGGAAACUGGGAAACUUGAGUGCAGAAGAGGAGAGUGGAAUUCCACGUGUAGCGGUGAAAUGCGUAGAGAUGUGGAGGAACACCAGUGGCGAAGGCGACUCUCUGGUCUGUAACUGACGCUGAGGAGCGAAAGCGUGGGGAGCGAACAGGAUUAGAUACCCGCGUAGUCCCUGUCUCUUAUAC